AGAGAUGACAGUGUGUCUUGUCUUAAUCUGCUUUUCUGGGUUGGAAGAGGGAAGUUUAAAUUAUAAUAGAAGAAUAUACUGUCAUACUGGGAAUUACAAACCGCUGUUAAUUUGCAUGCAGAACUCUGUUCUACAACAAGACAGCCACAGCAGGGAAGCAAUAAGAAAAUGAUUAAGCAUGACUAAGACCAACAUGGACUUCUCUCUCAUUUGUAAGAAGAGAACUAAAAUGUUGUCAGAAGGUAAGCACCCCUAUGGGAUUAGGGCAAUUUUCAAAUUUCACAUAAAUAAAAACAGCUAAUCAAUA